GAUGAACGCUGGCGGCAUGCUUAACACAUGCCAGUCGGACGGGAAGUGGUGUUUCUUGUGGCGGACGGGUGAGCAACGCGCAAGAACCUGCCCUUGGGAGGGGAACAACAGCUGGAAACGGCAGCUAAUACCCCGCAGGCCGAGGAGCAAAAGGAGUAAUCCGCCCGAGGAGGGGCUGGCGUCUGAUUAGCUAGUUGGUGAGGCAAGAGCUUACCAAGCCGAUGAUCAGUAGCGGGACCGUGAGGAUUAGCAGCCACACCGGGACGGAGACACCGCCCGGACUCCUACGGGAGGGGGCAGUAGGGAAUUUGCCGAAAGGGGCGAAAGCGAGACAGGGCAACGCAGCGUAAAGGUAGAUGAUCAAGGAGUAGUGAACUGCUUAGUCAGGAGACGAGGCUAUAAGGGUAUCAGGCAGUAAGCAACGGCUAACUCUGUG
rnacentral:rRNA from 1 species